CGCCUCUCGUAGGCGUUUCGAAAAUGAAUCAAAACUUUCAACAACGGAUCUCUUGGUUCUGGCAUCGAUGAAGAACGCAGCGAAAUGCGAUAAGUAAUGUGAAUUGCAGAAUUCAGUGAAUCAUCGAAUCUUUGAACGCACAUUGCGCCCGCCAGUAUUCUGGCGGGCAUGCCUGUCCGAGCGUCAUUUCAACCCUCGAACCCCUCCGGGGGGUCGGCGUUGGGGAUCGGCCUUCCUUCACGGGGGCCGUCUCCGAAAUACAGUGGCAGUCUCGCCGCAGCCUCUCCUGCGCAGUAGUUUGCACACUCGCAUCGGGAGCGCGGCGCGACCACAGCCGUUAAACACCCAACUUACUGAAAUGUUGACCUCGGAUCAGGUAGGAAUACCCGCUGAACUU
rnacentral:rRNA from 1 species